UUCACAAAUCCAUCAAUCUUAUUCACCUUCUAUCACUUCAUCACAUCAUACUAUAAUUUCAAAAAAUAUUUAUAUAUUAUCUCUUAAUAUAUAAGAAAAAAAUCAUGUAUUCUAUUUUUAUCAUAUUACUAGUAAAUAUAUAUCCAUUUUCUUUUUAUUUUGAACGAGACAAGUAUUCAUGUUCGUUGAUGAGUAACAAUGAAGAUGACUUUCUGAGAAUUGAACGGUUGUAGGUCUUUGUCGGUGCUAUCCUCGCUGAGCUUGUGUUUCUUGUUUUUUUUGUUUUCGUAUUUUUUUUGCUUUGCUUUUUUUCUUGACCUUGCAAGGCUUUUCUCGAGUUCUUGCUCGAGUUUUUUUCUUUUUUAUUUUUUUUAUAUAGUUCAAAUCUCCCAUCUUUUCUUUCUUUAGCUAUUCCUUCUGAGCUUGAGUUUGGAAGUCGUUCGUUAUUUCUAAUAAUGAUCGAUGAAGAAAAAAAAUAUUACGAGUUUCGUGCAGAAAAAUAUUAUAUGAGAGAAGACAAAGCUAGUUGUUCUUCAUUAUUUUGUUAGUAUUUUUUUUUUUAAUUUAUAGUUUGGAUAUAAUGUGGUAUUAUUGUAUUUAAUGUGUAUAAAUAUUGUGAUUGAUGUAAUGUUUGACUGAUUCUCUUUGUUUUCAAUUUUGAAUUCGAGAAUUAUAUUUAAAAAAAAAAAAUUAAAAAAGAUAGCAAUGAUUAUAUGUGUGCA
rnacentral:lncRNA from 1 species